UGCCUAUUAGCUCAAUUGGUAGAGCUUUGUGCAGUUGCACAAUGGUGUAGGUUCGAAUCCUACUUAGGCAA
rnacentral:tRNA from 1 species